rnacentral:rRNA from 1 species
UGGUGGAGUGAUUUGUCUGCUUAAUUGCGAUAACGAACGAGACCUUGACCUGCUAAAUAGCCAGGUUGACCUUUGUCGGCCGCCGGCUUCUUAGAGGGACUUUUGGCUCAAGCCAAUGGAAGUACGAGGCAAUAACA